rnacentral:rRNA from 1 species
GACGAACGCUGGCGGCGUGCCUAAUACAUGCAAGUAGAACGCUGAAGAGAGGAGCUUGCUCUUCUUGGAUGAGUUGCGAACGGGUGAGUAACGCGUAGGUAACCUGCCUUGUAGCGGGGGAUAACUAUUGGAAACGAUAGCUAAUACCGCAUAACAAUAGGUGACACAUGUCAUUUAUUUGAAAGGGGCAAUUGCUCCACUACAAGAUGGACCUGCGUUGUAUUAGCUAGUAGGUGAGGUAACGGCUCACCUAGGCGACGAUACAUAGCCGACCUGAGAGGGUGAUCGGCCACACUGGGACUGAGACACGGCCCAGACUCCUACGGGAGGCAGCAGUAGGGAAUCUUCGGCAAUGGGGGCAACCCUGACCGAGCAACGCCGCGUGAGUGAAGAAGGUUUUCGGAUCGUAAAGCUCUGUUGUAAGUCAAGAACGAGUGUGAGAGUGGAAAGUUCACACUGUGACGGUAGCUUACCAGAAAGGGACGGCUAACUACGUGCCAGCAGCCGCGGUAAUACGUAGGUCCCGAGCGUUGUCCGGAUUUAUUGGGCGUAAAGCGAGCGCAGGCGGUUUGAUAAGUCUGAAGUUAAAGGCUGUGGCUCAACCAUAGUUCGCUUUGGAAACUGUCAAACUUGAGUGCAGAAGGGGAGAGUGGAAUUCCAUGUGUAGCGGUGAAAUGCGUAGAUAUAUGGAGGAACACCGGUGGCGAAAGCGGCUCUCUGGUCUGUAACUGACGCUGAGGCUCGAAAGCGUGGGGAGCGAACAGGG